rnacentral:tRNA from 1 species
GCGUCCGUAGCUCAGUUGGUUAGAGCACCACCUUGACAUGGUGGGGGUCGGUGGUUCGAGUCCACUCGGCCGAAACA